rnacentral:tRNA from 1 species
ACUUAAAUAGCUCAAUAGUAGAGCAUAGUAUUGAAGAUACUAAGAUAGUUGAAAACUUUUAAGUA